UGGGGAAUUUUGGACAAUGGGGGAAACCCUGAUCCAGCCAUCCCGCGUGUGCGAUGAAGGCCUUCGGGUUGUAAAGCACUUUUGGCAGGAAAGAAACGUCAUGGGUUAAUACCCCGUGAAACUGACGGCAUCUGCAGAAUAAGCACCGGCUAACUACGUGCCAGCAGCCGCGGUAAUACGUAGGGUGCAAGCGUUAAUCGGAAUUACUGGGCGUAAAGCGUGCGCAGGCGGUUCGGAAAGAAAGAUGUGAAAUCCCAGAGCUCAACUUUGGAACUGCAUUUUUAACUACCGGGCUAGAGUGUGUCAGAGGGAGGUGGAAUUCCGCGUGUAGCAGUGAAAUGCGUAGAUAUGCGGAGGAACACCGAUGGCGAAGGCAGCCUCCUGGGAUAACACUGACGCUCAUGCACGAAAGCGUGGGGAGCAAACAGG
rnacentral:rRNA from 1 species